rnacentral:lncRNA from 1 species
GCAGUGGCGGACCUAGAGAGUAUUUUGAGUGGGGGCAAACUAUUUGAGUGGGGGGCACGUUCUUUAAAGAAUGAACGAAUUUAAGCAUAUUUUUCAAAAACUACAAGCAAAUAUUGUUGUAGUUUCAAAUCAUAGGUCCGCCCCUGCUUGAGGGAACAUUAUAAGAACGAAAUGAGCCUAACUCAAUUGUUUGGGGGAGUGGAUUUACAGCCCCACCACCUGAGUUCAAGUCCCCACGGAUGCACAUAUGGGUUCCUACAUAUACUGUGUGGGUUUCUCCUACAGUUAUUUUCUUCAGAACAAGUGAACGUUAUAAAUGAUUAGAAUAAAUAUUACAAUAAUUAUUCACAACAUGCAUGGUUGUGCAUUAUGUUGCAUCUUACUUAGACAAUGAGCUGCUGAACAGAUUGCUACAUUGUUUCACUUAUGGACUAGGCGUAGGUGAUUUCGAGUGAUCUUAUAUUAUGAGUAGCAAGCAGUUUCUUUUGUUUUUGUUUCACUUGUGCUCCUUGCUGAUAAGUGCUUCCUAGGAUUAUGGAUACAAUCUUUUUUCAACAUUUUACUGUGAUUUGGAUAGAUAGCUUUAAUUCUGCUAAACAGUAGGUUUAAUCUGUGAUACAGAACUAUUUUUUAGUUAUGUUGUUCAUGUUAAAAGGUGUAACAUAUAUCCGUGAAAUAUAAACGGUAUAUGAUUGUGUUUAAGUUAGUUGUUGGAGAUAUGACUUGUAUAGCAAUCCAACAACUAAUCUUGUAGAUCUUUGUAACUACCUGGCCGGUGGCCUAUAUUAACACGUAAAACGCCCCUGCAAGACGCAAGCGUUUAUCUCAUAUUUUCCACAUGGUAUACAGAGCCUAAACUCUUCCAAUCACAUCUAUGUCUUCAUCCUCCACCGUCGCCGUCGCCAUGGCCCUCCCCUCCAUCGCCUCUCUUGGCCACACCAUCGCCGAGAAACUUAACAGGGAGAACUUCCUUGUCUGGAGGGCGCAGGUGCUCCCUCAUGUCCGGGCUGCCGGCAUGAUGGGCUACCUUGAUGGUACCCUCAACGCUCCUCCCGCCGAGCUCAUCUUGGAGAAAGAUGUCGCCGGGAAGAAGGAGCUUACCGCCACGCCAAACCCUGAACAUGCUGUUUGGGUAACGCAGGACCAGCAGGUGCUUACGUUCUUGCUUGCGUCCCUCUCCCAUGACAUCCUUCUCCAGGUCAGCAACUGUGAGACGGCUGCAUCAGCGUGGAAGGAGAUUCUCCAAAGCUUCUCCUCGUAGUCACGGGCGCGCAUCAUCCAGCUCCGAUCUCUGAUUGGGAGUACCCGCAAGGGUGACUCCUCUGCCGCCGCCUACUUCACCAAGAUGAAGGGCCUCGCCGACGAACUGGCAGCAGCCGGGAAGCCUCUGGAUGAAGAUGACGUCGUCUCGCAUAUUCUCCAGGGGCUGAUGCACGAGCCUGAGUACAACGGGUUCGUCCCCGCCAUCACCACCCGCACCGUCACCGACCAACCCAUCAGCCUCGGUGAGCUCUUUUCCCUCCUCCUCGCAGCCGAAGCACGGAUCACCUCCCAAACCAGCGUCUACACUGCCAAUCUCGCUGCUCGGGGAGGUGGCCGUGGCCGUGGUGGCUACAACAACAACGGCUCUCGUGGUGGCUACAACAACAACAACACGGGAGGCCGCUUCCCUGACAGCAACAACAACACACCACGCCAAGGAGGAGACCGCGGUGAUCGCGGUGAUCGCAAGUUUGAGAACUGUCAAAUUUGCAAGGAGAGUGGACAUGGGGCAUGGCGCUGUGCGAAGCGCUUUGAUCGCAACUACAACAACAAUGUUCGCAAUCCAGCAGGAGGAGGAGGUGCCGGUGGACGUGGGCAAAAAUCCGCUAACGCCGCCCACUCCUAUGGGAUAGAUACCAACUGGUAUCUUGACACUGGUGCAACUGACCAUGUCACUGGCGAACUUGGCUGUCCACAAUCGCUACACCGGCAACGAGCAAAUCCACACCGCCAACGGUCAAGGUAUGAGCAUUGCCCAUGUUGGUCAUUCAGUUUUAUCUACCCCGCAUGGUUCCCUCAGCCUUAACAACAUCCUCCACUCUCCACAAGCCGAAAAAAGCCUUCUUUCCGCCUCGCAACUCAUGCUUGAUAACCAUGCCUUUCUCGAAGUUUACCCUGAAAUUGUUUUUGUUAAGGAUCGGGACACUCGGAGAACCAUUCUUCAAAGCAAGAGUAAGGGUCGCUUGUUCCCAGUAUCUGGUCAUCACGAAGCCCCACAUCCACAAGCUCUUGGCGCUGUCAAACCUUCCACCUCGCGAUGGCACAAGCGCUUAGGACAUCCAGCUUUACCGGUGGUCCAGAAAGUUCUUAGUAAUUUUGCUCUCCCAGUGUCAAAUAAAAAGGAUCACUUGUUAGUUUGUGAUUCCUGUCAAAAGGCCAAGAGCCAUCAGCUUCCAUACUCUCGGUCUAGUAGUGCGUCGCAUUUUCCUCUAGAACUUGUUUUCUCGGAUGUGUGGGGUCCUGGACCCAUUUCUGUUGGCAGACAAAAGUACUAUGUGAGUUUUAUUGAUGAUUUUAGUAAGUUCACCUGGAUUUACUUGCUCAAGAACAAGUCUGACGUCUUUGAGAAAUUUCAUCUCUUUCAACAACUUGUUGAGCGCCUGUUUGAUCGCAAAAUUCUAGCCAUGCAAACCGACUGGGGUGGAGAGUAUCAACAUCUCAACACCUUCUUUGAGCGCAUAGGCAUUAUCCACCAUGUCUCCUGCCCUCAUGCUCACCAACAGAACGGAUCCGCUGAACGCAAACACCGACACAUUGUCGAAGUAGGUCUUUCCCUCCUUGCUCAUGCGUUCAUGCCCUUGAAAUUUUGGGAUGAAGCCUUUACUACUGCUGUGUACCUUAUUAACCGUGUCCCAAGCAAAGUCAUCCAUGACCAAACACCUCUUGAACGUCUCUUUGACAUUAAACCCAACUACAAUUUCCUUCGUAUUUUUGGUUGUGCGGUUUGGCCAAAUUUACGUCCUUUCAAUAAGCACAAGCUUGAAUUCCGGUCUAAGCAAUGUGUUUUUAUAGGGUACAGCUCGCUGCAUAAAGGUUACAAAUGUCUUGAUGUGGCCUCUGGCAGGGUUUAUGUGUCUCUAGAUGUGGUGUUUGAUGAGCAAAUAUUUCCCUUCUCGCAAUUACAUCCAAAUGUUGGUGCCCAGCUUCGCAAAGAGCUUAUUGUGCUGCCCCCACAUCUCCUUCCACCAUCCCUUCCCUCCCCACGCGGUGGCAAUGAUACUGAUGCUAGCAUGACAAUGCCUCAUACUACUACACUUGAUCAUAUCUCAGCUGAAAGUGUGCAGGAAAACAGUGCAGAAAUCGGUGCAGAAACGGCUGCCAAUGACCGUGAUUUUAUGCUCUCCCACGGUGCAGAAAAUCCGGCGGACUCCUCCUCGGGAUCGGGCGCAGCCGGCAGAUCCUCCUCGGGACUUGCGGCGCCAGGCGGGCCAGCGGCAGACGCGCGCGCUUUCUCCAGGAUCUGCGGCGCNGCCGACUCCUACGACGAUCCCCAUGCAGCGCAUGCCGCUGCUGAUGCUGCUGACACCGCCGCCGCCGCCUCUACACAGGAUUUUUCCUCGGGAUCCGGGUCUGCGUCAUCAAAUCGUCUCCAACUGCAGCUCUCGCGCCCUGCGCCACCUCCACCUGCGCGUGCUCACACCAGGUUACAAGGUGGUGUCAUCAAACCAAAGGUAUAUCACGAUGGUUGCAUUCGUUGGGGUUCUUUUUGUGCCACAGGUGAACCACAAAACGUGACAGAAGCCCUUACCUCACCGAGGUGGAAAGAGGCAAUGGAUGAGGAAUAUGAUGCACUUAUGCAAAACAAGACUUGGCGCCUAGUUCCUCCAGCUAGGGGCAGAAACAUCAUCGAUUGCAAAUGGGUGUACAAGGUAAAGAGGAAAGCUGAUGGCAGUGUUGAUAGGUACAAAGCACGCCUGGUUGCCAAAGGGUUUAAACAGAGGUAUGGGAUUGACUAUGAGGACACAUUUAGUCCUGUAGUUAAGGCUGCUACUAUUAGGUUGAUCCUUUCUGUUGCAGUCUCUCGAAAUUGGUGCAUGAGACAAUUAGAUGUGAAGAAUGCGUUUUUGCAUGGUGUUCUGGAAGAUGAAGUGUUCAUGAGACAACCUCCUGGGUAUGAGAGUUCUAACUCACCUGGACAUGUGUGUAAACUUGAGAAGGCACUCUAUGGGCUCAAGCAAGCACCUAGAGCUUGGUACUCACGGUUGUCCUCCAAAUUGCAAUCCCUUGGUUUUGCUCCAUCCAGAGGAGAUACCUCACUUUUCUUCUACCAUAAGCAUGCCGUUACUAUUUUUAUGCUAAUCUAUGUUGAUGACAUCAUAGUUGCAAGCUCCUCUCCCCAAGCGGUUGAGGCUCUCUUAAAGGAUCUUGGCAAGGAAUUUGCACUCAAGGAUCUUGGAGCUUUGCAUUUCUUCCUUGGCAUUGAGGUCAAACAAGUACAUAAUGGAAUUCUUUUGUCCCAAGAAAAGUAUGUGCAAGAAAUCCUUCAACGCAUAGGGUUGAUGGGCUACAAACCCUCUCCCACACCACUGUCUACUUCUGAAAAACUGUCUCUUUAUGAUGGGGAAGUAUUAGGAGCAGAGGAUUCGACAAAGUAUAGAAGUAUUGUAGGAGCAUUACAAUACUUGACUCUUACCAGGCCUGAUAUUUCAUAUUCAGUUAAUAAAGUAUGCCAGUUUUUGCAUGCUCCCACUAGUGUGCAUUGGACUGCAGUAAAAAGAAUACUGAGAUAUCUGCAGGGAACAAAAAGUCAUGGACUUAAGAUUAGCAAAACUGAUUCUAUGCUAGUAAGUGCAUUCUCAGAUGCAGACUGGCUGGAUGUCCUGAUGAUAGGAGAUCUACUGGAGGCUUUGCUGUGUUUCUUGGAGGUAACCUUGUUUCUUGGAGCGCUCGCAAGCAACCCACAGUUUCCAGGUCAAGCACUGAGGCUGAGUAUAAAGCCUUAGCAAAUGCAACUGCUGAAAUUAUUUGGGUUCAGAACUUGUUGACCGAACUAGGUAUACGCCAUCCAAAGGCAGCCUCGCUAUGGUGUGAUAACCUUGGAGCUACCUAUAUGUCUGCUAACCCUGUUUUUCAUGCUAGAACAAAGCACAUUGAGAUUGAUUAUCAUUUUGUUCGUGAACGAGUGGCAGACAAGUUAUUGAACAUCAGGUUUGUACCAACUGGUGAUCAAGUUGCAGAUGGCUUCACUAAGCCACUCACCAUUCGGCAGCUAGGAGCAUUUAGAAACAAUCUCAACUUGGAUAGUUGUGAUUGAGGGGGAGUGUUAAAAGGUGUAACAUAUAUCCGUGAAAUAUAAACGGUAUAUGAUUGUGUUUAAGUUAGUUGUUGGAGAUAUGACUUGUAUAGCAAUCCAACAACUAAUCUUGUAGAUCUUUGUAACUACCUGGCCGGUGGCCUAUAUUAACACGUAAAACGCCCCUGCAAGACGCAAGCGUUUAUCUCAUAUUUUCCACAGUUCAGUAGUUGAGUGAAUUUCAGUAAUAUCCAUAGUGUUAAGAGAUUCACUGUGCAGGAUCCAUGAGAAGUUAGCAAUUAAGACAAUACAAGAUUACAAUGCAC